rnacentral:lncRNA from 1 species
GUGAUUCAAUAGUUCUAGAAAAUACAUAGGUUUAUUUCCAGUUCAUACAUGCUCAUUAAAUCAUUUUAAGUGAAUUUAGUUAACAGGUCUGAAAACAUUAAUUUAUUAUUAGUAGCUGUUAGUAUUAAUUUAUAAUAUUAUGUUCUAUGCACAUUAAUACUGUACAGCAUGAUUUCCUACUUACUAUUGAGUUCAACAGCCUACACAAAAGGAUAUUUUCCUAAAAAAUUCUGGUUACAGAAGCAAAUAGAAGCAUAUUUACACACUCUAGGGGAGAGCAAAAUUUCAAAAAUUCCCCAAACAAAAACUUCCACAUGAUAUCACAGUCCUUAUUUUGACCUUUUUAGUUUAAGCUAAAAGAGAUGCUUAAGAUGUUUUUCAGGUUAAGCUAAAAAAGAUGUUAAGCUAAGAGAUACUUCUCUUUAGAUUAUUUCCCUUAGUGUAAGAAAGCCCAAUACUAAAAGGUGAUUAACUAUAUUAAUUUCCAUAAAUAGGAUCUUAAGGUUUGAUUACCAAAGAAAUUACCAUAUACCAUUAUGGAAUGAUAAUAUAUUACACACUCCCCAAGUAAAAGACCAAAUUUACUUCAACCACCCCCACUCAAAAAAAAAAAAUCUUUAUUCAGUCAUGAAGUCCUUGGAAUCACAGCAGGGCUUGAUGCCAUAUUGGUGUCACAUUCUGCCAGCAAUCCAAAUAGGCCAGCCUUCUUUUUCAACUUCUUUGUCUACUAGUGCAUCACUGGACCCAGCAGGCAGUUCACCCAGACAAUUUCAAUAACGGAUUUUGGCUCUCUGUGGAUAACAGAUGAAAAUCUUUACGAAGUAUCCAGUUUGUCUUAUAGCUGAGAGAUCUGAACCUGAUGCAGAUGUCACAUCUAAAUUCUUGAACAGAUUUUUAUCAUCAGUGCCACCU